rnacentral:rRNA from 1 species
GAUGAACGCUGGCGGCGUGCCUAAUACAUGCAAGGCGAGCGAACAGAAGAGGAGCUUGCUCAGAGGAAGGGAGCGGCGGACGGGUGAGUAAAACGUGGAGAACCUAUAGAGAAGAAUGGGAUAAAUUAGGGAAAAUGGAGUUAAUACAGGAGAAUAUAUUGAAAUGUAUGGUUCAAUAGUGAAAGACGGUUUUGCUGUCACUUAUAGAUGGAUCCGCGCCGCAUUAGCUAGUUGGUAAGGUAACGGCUUACCAAGGCGACGAUGCGUAGCCGACCUGAGAAAAUAAUCGGCCACACUGAAACUGAGACACGAUCCAGACUCCUACGGGAGGCAGCAGUAGGGAAUCUUCCGCAAUGGGCGAAAGCCUGACGGAGCAACGCCGCGUGAGUGAUGAAGGUCUUCGGAUCUUAAAACUCUGUUCUUCGAUACGAACAAAUGUGUAAGUAACUAUGCACGUCUUGACUGUACCUAAUCAGAAAGCCACGGCUAACUACGUG